rnacentral:lncRNA from 1 species
AUUAAUCAACCCCUGUGUGUUUCAAUGGCAUAGGCUUAAAGCCCUCUCUCUGCAGGGUGAUGGGCUGCAGGCUUCCUAAGCUGCGGAGGGAGGGGGAGGAGAGGAGUCCCGUAAAGAUUUUUUCCACCCUCCGACGGCCACAGGUGGAGACCAAGGUGGGCGUGGCCUACACCUACCACUUCCUGGACUUCCUGUUAGGGAAAGAAGGUUGCUGAGGCACUCUUCCAGCAGGUCUUCAGGCAUUAUGGCAAUCUGGAGGACAUCGUCUCCGGCUGUGGCCACCAAUUCACAUCACAAGUAUGGAGGGCCUUCAUGGAGAAGCUCGGCG